CGGGGCCACCCGCGCACGCUCGCGGAGCCCGGAGAACUGCGCCAAACACCCCUCCUGCGGGCACCGGACCGGGGAAGCCGCCCCGUUCCCUGAUGGACGCCCUGUUUGCUCAGGAGCCUGGCAGCGGCCACGCGGGGCGCGCAUGAUUGCGUUUCCACAAGCCACAGGCCCCGGCCCCCCCACCCUGCCCCGAGGAGGAAGAGGAAGCCCUGGUGGGGAUGGGGAAAACGAGCCCCAGGGAGUCAAAAUGACUUGCUCAGGACUCCGCAAACCGUUUUGGAGUAAAGAGGAGGGUCUGGUCCCCCAGCUCCUGGAGACCGUGAGCAGUGCAGGGUGCAUGUUUAGCCAGGACGUGCCCUGGUGCCCCUCUGUGGGUGUCGUGUGCAAAGUCUGCACCUUGGGGCUGGGAGAUUUGGGUUUGAGACCUGGCUCGCCCUCACCCACCUGCUGGGAGACUCGGGGCAAGCCCUUCCUCCCUGUUAGUCCUUGGGGUCCCUGCAUGCCCUUCCCCUGGUGACCUGACCCAGCCCUAAAGAUCGCAGGUGCAGGAUGGCGUGUUCUGGGGCGCGGGCUGUGGCUGCUGCCCCUGGAACCUCCGUUUUCUGGCUCUCGCCUGAUCUUGAGUCACUUCAUGCCCUCCUCCCUCGCCUGCCCCACAAGGCCUGCAAAGCAGCUGGACAAACCCAGGUGUGGGAGACUCAACGCCUGGCCUCAAGAGCCAUCAGUCACUCCCU
rnacentral:lncRNA from 1 species